GACGAACGCUGGCGACGUGCUUAACACAUGCAGGUCGAACGGUAACCCUCUCCGGGGCACACGAGCGGCGAACGGCUGACUAACACGUGGGUGAUCUGCCCUGUACUUCGUGACAAGCCUGCGAAGCCGGGUCUAAUACCGGACGGCACCACCGCCUGGAUGGGCGGCGGUGGAAAGCUUUUGCGGCGUGGGAUGGGCCCGCGGCCUAUCAGCUUGUUGGCGGGGUGCUGGCGUACCAAGGCGACGACGGGUAGCCGUCCUGAGAGGGUGACCGGCCACACUGGGACUGAGAUACGGCCCAGACUCCUACGGGAGGCAGCAGUGGGGAAUAUUGCACAAUGGGCGCAAGCCUGAUGCAGCGACGCCGCGUGAGGGAUGACAGCCUUCGGGUUGUAAACCUCUUUCAGCACCGACGAAGCGAAAGUGACGGUAGGUGCAGAAGAAGGACCGGCCAACUACGUGCCAGCAGCCGCGGUAA
rnacentral:rRNA from 1 species